AUUGAACGCUGGCGGCGGGCCUAACACAUGCAAGUCGAACGAGUGGCGGACGGGUGAGUAAUGUCUGGGAAACUGCCCGAUGGAGGGGGCUGACUACUGGAAACGGUAGCUAAUACCGAAUACCAUCGUAUGUGCCCAGAGGGGAUUAGCUAGUAGGUGGGGUAACGGCUCACCUAGGCGACGAUCCCUAGCUGGGCUGAGAGGAUGACCAGACACACUGGAACUGAGACACGGUCCAGACGCCGACGGGAGGCAGCAGUGGGGAAUAUGGGACAAUGGGCGCAAUCCGGAUGCAGCCAUGCCGCGUGUAUGAAGAAGGCCUUCGGGUUGUAAAGUACUUUCAGCGAGGAGGCGGUACUCGCAGAAGAAGCACCGGCUAACUCCGUGCCAGCAGCCGCGGUAAUAC
rnacentral:rRNA from 1 species